rnacentral:rRNA from 1 species
UACGUAGGGUGCAAGCGCUAAUCGGAAUUACUGGGCGUAAAGCGUGCGCAGGCGGCUUUGUAAGUCAGAUGUGAAAUCCCCGGGCUUAACCUGGGAACUGCGUUUGAAACUACAAGGCUAGAGUGUGGCAGAGGGGGGUGGAAUUCCACGUGUAGCAGUGAAAUGCGUAGAGAUGUGGAGGAACACCGAUGGCGAAGGCAGCCCCCUGGGUUAACACUGACGCUCAGGCACGAAAGCGCGGGGAGCGAACAGG